GACAGAGGGUGCAAACGUUGCUCGGAAUUACUGGGCGUAAAGCGCGUGUAGGCGGGCUAGUAAGUCGGACGUGAAAUCCCUGGGCUCAACCCAGGAACUGCAUCCGAAACUAUUAGCCUUGAGUGGUGGAGAGGGAAGCAGAAUUCCUGGUGUAGAGGUGAAAUUCGUAGAUAUCAGGAGGAACACCGGUGGCGAAGGCGGCAUACUGGAUCACAUCUGACGCUGAGGCGCGAAAGCCAGGGGAGCAAACGGG
rnacentral:rRNA from 1 species